rnacentral:rRNA from 1 species
AGAACGAACGCUGGCGGCAUGCCUAACACAUGCAAGUCGAACGAGACCUUCGGGUCUAGUGGCGCACGGGUGCGUAACGCGUGGGAAUCUGCCCUUGGGUUCGGGAUAACAGUUGGAAACGACUGCUAAUACCGGAUGAUGACUUCGGUCCAAAGAUUUAUCGCCCAGGGAUGAGCCCGCGUAGGAUUAGCUAGUUGGUGAGGUAAAGGCUCACCAAGGCGACGAUCCUUAGCUGGUCUGAGAGGAUGAUCAGCCACACUGGGACUGAGACACGGCCCUGACUCCUACGGGAGGCAGCAGUGGGGAAUAUUGGACAAUGGGCGAAAGCCUGAUCCAGCAAUGCCGCGUGAGUGAUGAAGGCCUUAGGUUGUAAAGCUCUUUACCCGGGAUGAUAAUGACAGUACCGGAGAAUAAGCCCCGACUAACUCCGCGCCAGCAGCCGC